GACGAACGCUGGCGGCGUGCUUAACACAUGCAAGUCGAACGGAAAGGCCCCUUUGGGGGUACUCGAGUGGCGAACGGGUGAGUAACACGUGAGUAACCUGCCCUUGCCUUCGGGAUAACUUCAGGAAACUGGGGCUAAUACCGGAUAGGAAUCCUUGCUGCAUGGUGGGGGUUGGAAAGCUUCGGCGGUUUUGGAUGGACUCGCGGCUUAUCAGCUUGUUGGUGGGGUAGUGGCUUACCAAGGCUUUGACGGGUAGCCGGCCUGAGAGGGCGACCGGCCACAUUGGGACUGAGAUACGGCCCAGAAUCCUACGGGAGGCAGCAGGGGGGAAUAUUGCACAAUGGGCGGAAGCCUGAUGCAGCAACGCCGCGGGCGGGAUGACGGCCUUCGGGUUGGAAACCGCUUUCAGCAGGGGCGAAGCUUGUGGUGACGGUACCUGCAGAAGAAGCACCGGCUAACUACGUG
rnacentral:rRNA from 1 species